rnacentral:rRNA from 1 species
AUACGGAGGGGGCUAGCGUUGUUCGGAAUUAUUGGGCGUAAAGGGCGCGUAGGCGGCUUGAUAAGUCAGGCGUGAAAUCCCACGGCUCAACCGUGGAACUGCGUUUGAUACUGCCGAGCUUGAGUCCCGGAGAGGGUAGCGGAAUUCCCAGUGUAGCGGUGAAAUGCGUAGAUAUUGGGAGGAACACCAGUGGCGAAGGCGGCUACCUGGACGGGUACUGACGCUGAGGCGCGAAAGCGUGGGGAGCAAACAGGAUUAGAAACCCCGGUAGUCC